AUUUUGUUAAGCUCUGUGAGGCACCCCCCAGGAAUCAGCUUCCUUGUUACCUGGAGGAAGCUGACAAUCGAUGUUAACUACCCUCAAAGUCUGGAAUGAGGACUGAAAAGGAGCUGGAUCACAAACCAUAGGGGAUAUGUCUGGGCUAUGAUAAGCCUUCAAAAUGAACAGGAGGUUUUGGGUGAAAUGGCCCUGAGGGCAACACCGAGCAACUCAGGUCCAAGUGGCCGGUUCGACCAGGUCGUGACUCCUCAAUGCCAGCAGAGGGCGCGAGCGGACCGACCCUUGCAGCUCCGGGCCUCCCGCUCCCCGCGGAUGCGCAGACCCGGGAGGAGCGCUGGUCCAGAGCAGGUGCGGAGAGCAAGUCAGCCAGCACGCACCAAGCAAGAGUGCCGGGUGACGUAAGGAACGCGGGAGCCCAGCAACAUGGGAGCUGUUUAAUUUUUUCGCCAGUUUUCAUCGGUGAACGGAAUUCUCAAGGAACAAUCUUUCUCCCCUCUCUCCCAGCCCGCCUCGUUCUUUGCUUCCGAGCUUUUCUGGUUCCAGGGGGCAGUUAGCAGCAUUUUUGGGGUAUUUUAAACGGGAUGGGCGGUUCUGGGGUAUCCAAUACCACUCAAGGCAGGCAGAGGCCCAUGGUGUGCUGCAACGUUG
rnacentral:lncRNA from 1 species